rnacentral:rRNA from 1 species
GAUGAACGCUAGCGGCAGGCCUAAUACAUGCAAGUCGAGGGGCAGCAUAGUAGCAAUACUGAUGGCGACCGGCGCACGGGUGCGUAACGCGUAUGCAACCUACCCAUUACUGAGGGAUAGCCCGGAGAAAUUCGGAUUAAUACCUCAUGGUAUCAAGGACAGGCAUUUGUUUUUGAUUAAAGAUUUAUCGGUAAUGGAUGGGCAUGCGUCAGAUUAGCUAGUUGGCGGGGUAACGGCCCACCAAGGCGAUGAUCUGUAGGGGGUCUGAGAGGAUGAUCCCCCACACUGGUACUGAGAUACGGACCAGACUCCUACGGGAGGCAGCAGUAGGGAAUAUUGGUCAAUGGGCGAGAGCCUGAACCAGCCAUGCCGCGUGCAGGAAGAAGGCCCCUCUGGGUUGUAAACUGCUUUUGACCAGGGCCAAAAUACUCAUGCGUGAGGAAUUGAGAGUACUGGUAGAAUAAGCACCGGCUAACUCCGUGCCAGCAG